rnacentral:ncRNA from 1 species
AUAGCAGUUUGCCAAACUCAUCGUAAGGUGAGGACGGAAAGCCACGGGUCCUUUAGAGGAUAGCCGGGUUGCCAGC